GACGAACGCUGGCGGCGUGCCUAACACAUGCAAGUCGAGCGGGGUCCAUCCAGUGGCAACACUGGGGAAGACCUAGCGGCGAACGGGUGAGUAACACGUGAGGAACCUGCCCCGAAGACCGGGAUAACCCGAGGAAACUCGAGCUAAUACCGGAUACCCCCACGAGAUCGCAUGGUCUUGUGAGGAAAUGUCUUUUCGCUUCGGGAGGGCCUCGCGGCCUAUCAGCUAGUUGGCGGGGUAACGGCCCACCAAGGCAUCGACGGGUAGCUGGUCUGAGAGGACGAUCAGCCACACUGGGACUGAGACACGGCCCAGACUCCUACGGGAGGCAGCAGUGGGGAAUCUUGCGCAAUGGGCGAAAGCCUGACGCAGCAACGCCGCGUGGGGGACGAAGGCUCUCGGGUUGUAAACCCCUUUCAGGAGGGACGAAAUUGACGGUACCUCCAGAAGAAGCCCCGGCCAACUACGUG
rnacentral:rRNA from 1 species